rnacentral:rRNA from 1 species
GACGAACGCUGGCGGCGUGCUUAACACAUGCAAGUCGAACGAAGAGCGAUGGAAGCUUGCUUCUAUCAAUCUUAGUGGCGAACGGGUGAGUAACGCGUAAUCAACCUGCCCUUCAGAGGGGGACAACAGUUGGAAACGACUGCUAAUACCGCAUACGAUCUAACCUCGGCAUCGAGGAUAGAUGAAAGGUGGCCUCUACAUGUAAGCUAUCACUGAAGGAGGGGAUUGCGUCUGAUUAGCUAGUUGGAGGGGUAACGGCCCACCAAGGCGAUGAUCAGUAGCCGGUCUGAGAGGAUGAACGGCCACAUUGGGACUGAGACACGGCCCAGACUCCUACGGGAGGCAGCAGUGGGGAAUCUUCCGCAAUGGACGAAAGUCUGACGGAGCAACGCCGCGUGAGUGAUGACGGCCUUCGGGUUGUAAAGCUCUGUUAAUCGGGACGAAAGGCCUUCUUGCGAAUAGUUAGAAGGAUUGACGGUACCGGAAUAGAAAGCCACGGCUAACUACGU